rnacentral:lncRNA from 1 species
CUUUGUACCCCUGCCAAGUUGCUCCCCAGAGGUAUCACGUGCGACAGUGAAGGAGCCACCAGCCUGAGACUCCCACACGUACUGCUCAUCAUCAUUGUGCUUAGUGGUCACGACAACCCUCUCUGCAACAAGGUAGGCAGAGUAGAAACCGACACCAAACUGGCCAAUCAUGGACACAUCAGCACCAGCAGCAAGUGCCUCCAUGAAUUCCUUCGUGCCUGACCGCGCAAUGGUACCAAGGUUGUUCACAAGGUCUGACUUGGUCAUACCAAUGCCGCUGUCGAUGAUUGUCAGCGUGUUGUUGGCCUUGUCGGGGACAAUGUGGAUGAACAGCUCUGGCUGUGCAUCCAGCUUGGUCUUGUCCGUCAAACUCUCAAACCUGAUCUUGUCCAAGGCCUGUUUGGAAACAGCAGAGAGACAUCAAGGUUAGUGGCUUAGUAGUUUGAUUCAACCAUCAUCCCAGAAGAGCACAGGGACUUCAAAUGUAUUUUGUCACCACCCAGCACCCACUGCAGAUUUGUUAAACAAAACACGAAUUGUACAGACAAUUUAAUGAUAUCAUACUGAUCAAUCAAGUUAUACUGUUUUGUCCCACCCAGCACACACUGCAGCUUCUACAGAUUCUAGACUAGCACAUUGUUAAACUAAAACGAAGUGUACAGAUAAUUUAAUGGCCUCACACUGAUCAAAUCCCCCUAAUACACAUGCUAUGUUCAAACAUCUCAUCGUAAAUAAUAACGAUCUCAAGUCUCAGUGACUAAAACAUAAUUUGAGUAGAAUAGAUUGCUGAAAGCCGUCACAGAACUUGCAGAUAAUAAUAAAUGAUAACUAGACACCGAGAUACAAAACCGAUCCAAUAAGAUUUACGGCAGACGUCUAAUCCAGCAUGUAGAGCAUUUAAAAAGCGCCGGCAGCAACAGGAUAUAACCCAUCACCACCAGAUUCAAAUCAAAUGAAGACUCCGACCCAUCGAUUGGACGGUUGGAGGGUUUAGCGCACAGAUCUAGUCUACGUAGUAGUCUAUUUUAACUUUAAAACCGCAAAGAGAGAAGAACGAUCGGGCCGUCUGGGGGAGCGUGAAACCCACUCACAUCGGAGGAGUUGGAGAUGAGCUCCCUGAGGAAGAUCUCCUUGUUGGAGUAGAAGGUGUUGAUGAUGAGCGAGAGCAGCUGGUUGAUCUCCGCCUGGAAGGCGAACGUCUCCGUCUCCGAGGCCAUGGCGAAAC